rnacentral:rRNA from 1 species
GCCACGGGUGGGCGGUGCACAGUUUCACCGUGUUUCGGUGGUCAUAGCGUGAGGGAAACGCCCGGUUACAUUCCGAACCCGGAAGCUAAGCCUCACAGCGCCGAUGGUACUGCAGGGGGGACCCUGUGGGAGAGUAGGACGCCGCCGAAC